rnacentral:rRNA from 1 species
AUUGAACGCUGGCGGCAGGCCUAACACAUGCAAGUCGAACGGUAACAGGAAGCAGCUUGCUGCUUUGCUGACGAGUGGCGGACGGGUGAAUAAUGUCUGGGAAACUGCCCGAUGGAGGGGGAUAACUACUGGAAACGGUAGCUAAUACCGCAUAACGUCGCAAGACCAAAGAGGGGGACCUUAGGGCCUCUUGCCAUCGGAUGUGCCCAGAUGGGAUUAGCUAGUAGGUGGGGUAACGGCUCACCUAGGCGACGAUCCCUAGCUGGUCUGAGAGGAUGACCAGCCACACUGGAACUGAGACACGGUCCAGACUCCUACGGGAGGCAGCAGUGGGGAAUAUUGCACAAUGGGCGCAAGCCUGAUGCAGCCAUGCCGCGUGUAUGAAGAAGGCCUUCGGGUUGUAAAGUACUUUCAGCGGGGAGGAAGGGAGUAAAGUUAAUACCUUUGCUCAUUGACGUUACCCGCAGAAGAAGCACCGGCUAACUCCGUG